ACCAGGGAGGCCUAAUGGUUAAGAGUUUGUACUUAAACUCUAAUGGACAAAUAUCCAUGUGGGUUCAAACCCCACUCCUGGUA
rnacentral:tRNA from 1 species